GGGAAGACGAAAGACCACAUUUGCCAUUUUUAAAGGAUGGAUAUGAACUCAGAAAACUAAUUUUGGGCCAACUACUAACAUUCAAGGACAAUGAAUGUGAAGAUAACAUGCCUGCUGGUGUACUGGACUUCAUCAAUUGUAUUAGGAAAAUCCAAAGUUAAACGGGGAGCUCAAUCGGUGGAAGGUAAUUUGUCAGAGAGAUUUCUUGCAGCCAACAGUUAAUAGACAAUGAGCAGGGAGACGAUGAACAUGUAGAGAUGGAUUUUUUUCCUUUGAGAAAUUAAUAGUAGAUUUUGGUUUCUACUUAAGAUA